UCAAACCCUACUCGUUGCCUCUUACUGAAACCCUAAUCCAUGGCUUCCUAGGCUCAUCGAAGACAUCUACCAGCCUCUCAGGGCUUCUACGUGCUCAUCUUUGAGGUCCUAUGACCAGAUCCUGAAGGUGUUUCGACCAAGCCUUUAUUUGAUAACCGUUCUCCGAUCAUCUUCCACCUUUUUCCAGGCCACCCAUGGCUAUUCGAGUUUGAUCUUCGACUUUCCUGUUUAUAUCGAUGGUUUUCAAAGCCUUUC
rnacentral:lncRNA from 1 species